UCUGAGUAAAGGUGUUGCUUGCCUCCCACUGAGACCCAGGAAUAAUCUUCGGAAACAAAAAUUAGUUUUCAAUUAUUCCUAAAGCGGAAUAUUGUUUUUAUUGUUCAUUAAGAAGUUUACCAAGAAGUCAAGAAUUCUAUACCAAGAUGAUUGGAUUCGCCAUUUUUGUAAUGGUCGUCUUUGAAGGAUUCAGGUGGCUAAGAAAAGACGAUGAAGCGGAUAUGGAUCGUGAGAUAUCCGAGCAGAUUGAUGCAAUGCUAGAGAGCAUUCAGAGAUCUUUGUAAAAAUGUUGAAAUAAAACAUUUGACCGAUCCCA